rnacentral:rRNA from 1 species
UACGGAGGGUGCAAGCGUUGUCCGGAUUUAUUGGGUUUAAAGGGUGCGUAGGCGGCCCGUUAAGUCCGUGGUGAAAGCCUCCAGCUCAACUGGAGAACUGCCAUGGAUACUGGCGGGCUUGAGUACAGACGAGGUUGGCGGAAUUGAUUGUGUAGCGGUGAAAUGCAUAGAUACAAUCAAGAACUCCGAUUGCGUAGGCAGCUAACUAGGCUGUAACUGACACUGAGGCACGAAAGCGUGGGGAGCGAACAGG